rnacentral:lncRNA from 1 species
GACUGGAGGCAUUUUUCGUAGUUUCAAAUUUAUAGGACACAAGUAUUUUAGGUCUUAAAGAAGAACUCACAGAGAAAACUACCAAAUAUUUAACAGUUAAGCCUAUGAAGCAGCUACUAGUACAAUAAAAAUCUGAAGCAAAAUGAGAUGUGAGGCAUAAACUAGUUACAUUUGUCUCCUUCCUUCAACCAUAUAGGUUCCUAGAUCCAUUUUUUUUUUUAAUUGUGAAAACAUUUGUUUUCUUUUUUCCUGCCUACUGGUGGCUGUCUUGCAAUCUUUCAAUAGAAGGAGUCCGAUUACUAAUUAAGACACAGCUGUUGGAUCAUCUGGGGACUUUAUCUUCACAUUUUUUUUUUCUCUGAGUCCCUGGAUCGUCACUUGCUGACUUCCCAAGUUUAAUUCCUUCAAUGCUUGAGAAGAAGGGAAUCAAAGGGUUCAGGUAAAGUUAAAAUCAAAAGAGAGAAUAG